rnacentral:rRNA from 1 species
AUUGAACGCUGGCGGCAGGCCUAACACAUGCAAGUCGAACGGUAACAUGAGACAUCUUGCUGUUUCGCUGAGGAGUGGCUGACGAGUGAGCAAUUUCUUCGAAACUGCCUGAUGGAGGGGGAUAUCUACUGGAAACGGUCGCUAAUACCGCAUAACUUUGCAAGUUCAAAGAGGGGGACCUUCGGUCCUCUUGUCGUCGGAUGUGCCCAGAUGGGAUUAGCUAGUAGGUGGGGUAACGGCUCACCUAUGCGCCGAUCUCUAGCUGGUCUGAGAGGAUGACCAGCCACACUGGAACAGAGACACGGUACAGACUCCGACUGUGGGCAGCAGUGGGGAAUAUUGCGGAAUGGGCGAAAGCCUGAUGCAGCCAAGCCGGGUGUAGGAAGAAGGAGUUCGGGUUGUAAAAUAAUUUAAGCGGGGAGGAAGGGAGAAAAGUUAAGAGCUGGACUCAUUGACGGUACCCGCAGAAGAAGCACCGGCUAACUCCGUG